CAUAUGUGUGCUUUGUCGCCCA
rnacentral:siRNA from 1 species